CAGAAUAAACUUGAUAGGUUGUUGCUGGCUCUAAACACUGAGCAUGUGCACACUUGUCAUUUUUGUCUUUCCACCAUGUGCACUAUGCGUAGGAACAUCAUUUGAUCAAAGGCAACUUUGUUCACUGGAGACUGCUAUUGUGCAAGCAAUGGCUUUCUCUGCUUGUUCCUAUGAUUUUUAUAUAUACACCUUUUAAUGUUACAGAACGAUAUAAUGGGUCUUAAAAACCCUAUAAACUAUAAUA
rnacentral:misc_RNA from 1 species